GCCUCCGUGGCGCAACCGGUUAGCGCGUUCGGCUGCUAACCGAAAGGUUGGUGGUU
rfam:Schistosoma mansoni strain Puerto Rico chromosome W, complete genome